UCGAGAAUCAUUCACAAUGGGCGAAAGCCUGAUGGUGUGACGCCGCGUGGAGGAUGAAGGUCUUCGGAUUGUAAACUCCUGUCAUGUGAGAGUAAAGCCGGACGUUAACUGCGUGCCGGUCUGAGAGUAUCACAAGAGGAAGAGACGGCUAACUCUGUGCCAGCAGCCGCGGUAAUACAGAGGUCUCAAGCGUUGUUCGGAAUCACUGGGCGUAAAGGGUGCGUAGGCCGCACGGUAAGUCAGAGGUGAAAUCCCGGAGCUCAACUUCGGAAUUGCCUCCGAUACUGCCGUGCUUGAGGACUGGAGAGGAGUCUGGAAUUCACAGUGGAGCAGUGAAAUGCGUAGAUAUUGUGAGGAACACUAGUGGCGAAGGCGAGACUCUGGACAGUUCCUGACGCUGAGGCACGAAGGCCAGGGGAGCAAACGG
rnacentral:rRNA from 1 species